UGAAGCUCCACUUACAGCACACACCUUCCCACUGUAUUCUCGUCUGCCUGCACCUGAGUUGCCUCCCAGCAAGAGUGGUCAUGAGCAGAAGUACCACAGCAGAUCAGAAAGAAGCAGUGAUCUAGAUCUGGACCAACAACAAGAUAGCUCAUUCCCGGGACACACACUUUUGGCUGACCGAUAUGAUCCAAUUGUAUUUGUCAAGUUCUUUGACAGUUAUGAAGAAAGGAAAAGGAGGACUUUAUUUGGACGCUGCUAACCAUAAAAGUAUCAGCCAGCUUCUGAUCGUGGCAUGCUUAAAAACCUCCUAGAGGAAAACAUAAUUUGUAA
rnacentral:lncRNA from 1 species